UGUGCUCUGAUUAUAACUGCAUGGUGUUACCAAGCAGAUCUCAUCAGCACAGGUGACCAUGCAGUCCCAGAAUCGAAAAAGAGCUCCAGCAUGGACCGAACGGUAGGUACUGGAUCUGAUGGCUGUAUAGGGAGAGGAAUCCGUGCUAUCAGAACUACAUUCCAAAAGAGAAAACGCCAAAACAUUU